UGGAAGAGGAAGGAUGCCGGACUGUGACCGGGUAGGAGGGUGCUGCCUGCCUGGGCCUUGGUCCCCGGGAAUCCUGAUAUCGUCCGAGGAUUCCAGGAGGAAUGACAAGCUGACCUUUUCGCCAGGAAGACGGCUUGGGAGGUAAAGGCACCUGCCACCAUGUCUGCCUUCCUGAACCCAAUCACCCAGACCCACAUAGUGGGAGAAAAGAUCCAGGCUGGUCUAUGGGGGUAUUUCCCAGAAAGGUUAGAUGAAGAGAGAAGACCCUCCCUGUUAGUGUGUGGCACCUUCCAGCAGUCAUCCAGACUUAAAGAACUCCGUGGAAAAAGCAGUGCUACUUUGCCUGACUGCCUUCCCUUAUUGCUGGUGAGUGCAUCUAUCUUGUUUUUGCUGCCUCUGCUGAUGCCAUCUUUUGCAGAUAUCAGAACCCAGGUUCAGCCCUCCAGUGUGGAUGAUAGACUGGCAGUUCUCCAGGAAUCCUCAAACCCUUCGAUUGAGAUUGCUGAGGUAUCCACCUUCAAGGACUAAACAGCUAUCAGGUUCUCAUCCUAUCCAGCAUUCAGAUGACCAUUCUUGGACUACUAGUCUCGGUCAUAUAAGUCAAUGUAAUAAAUCUCUUUCCAUCAUAUAUAUCCAUUCUACUGGUUCUGUUCCUCUAGAAGUCCCUGACUAAUGCAAUGCUUAUAUCUAUAAAGGACAUAUAUAAACAAUUCUCCAUUUGUUAUCCCUUAAGUAACACAGUGUAACAACUACUUACACCACAUUUGUGUUGUAUUAGGUAUUAUAAGUCAUCUAAAGAUGCUGUAAAGGAUACUGGAGGAUAUGCAUAGUUUAUAUUAUAAACACUACACCACUUUAUACAAAAGACUUGAUCAUCUGUGGACUUUGAUAUUUGGAGGGGACUAGUUGGGAUGUAGGGGUAUCCUGGAACCAAUCUCCCUUAGAUAAUGAAAAACAACACAGUUUUGCAUUUGUACAGUGGCCACUACUACAGUAAGACACUAAACAGUUCUACUCCCCAAUCAAUGCUUCCUGUUAACUUUUCAUGGCCACACCACUUCCCUCCCACCCCCGUCUCUAACUAGUAAAUUGCUCAUACGUUCUCCAUUUCUAAAAUUUUAUUAUUGGGAGAUUAUUUAUUAUAAAUGGAUCUUAUAGUCUUUGGGGAUUAGAUUUUUCACUCAGGGUUCCCCGUUGUUAUGUUUAUUAAUAGUGGCUGUGGAACUCUGCCCCCUCUCCCUGUUAGCAAGAAACCCUCACAAGAUUGUCCAUUAAUAGUCCCUUGUGAAGGGGAGAGAAAACUCACAUGUGACAGCACAAGGGGCACUGAGGCAGCAUGCUAGACACCUGAAUCUUCAACCCUCCUCAAAAUACAUAAGCCAUUGAUGAUCAUGGGAGUGGGAUGGUGGCUUUUCUUCAGUAAUGUAGGUGCCUGUAAGUCUUCCAUGUUCCUCUAGGAAACCCUUUCCCUAUGUUCCUGUAAGUAACUUUAAAUAAACUCUUUAGUUUACCAAGCAAGACUUGGAUGGAAUAAUA